GCAGCAGCUUCCCCCCUCCCCACCCCAAAGCAGGAGGGAAAAUCCUCUGCCUAGCGUUCCCCUCCCCUUCCCCCUGCUCCUCCCUCUUCCUCUGCGCCCCUCCGGCCUCCAGGACCUUGCUCAGCCUCCCUCGCCUGCUUCAGAGCUGGGGCCGGGAAGCGAGGACCGAGAUCAGAGCCGCGGAUCUGGGAGCAGAAGCGUCGCCGACGUCCGCGGUGCUGAAGCGGAGCGAGGAGGCUUGCAGAGCUGGGCGGCCGCCGCCGCUGUCCGCGGUGCCGAAGCAGGAGGACAUAGAGACUCGGGGAGCGGGGCCGUAGCCGUCUCUUCCCACCCCUGGGGCGCAGCGCAACCCCCGCCGCCGGUUCCUGCUUGCCUCCCUCUCCACCGGUUCCCCGCACGCCGAGAUGGGAGCGGCUUUCUCCAGCCUGCCGGGACCCAAGCCAGGCAGCCAGCCAGCAGGAUGUUUUGAAAUAUUACUUUACAUGACUCAACAAAUUCAAGCUGAAGAUAUUAAUCUCGGAAAUGAAAACACAGUCAAAUUGUGUUAGAACACAAUGUGAAGUUAUUAGAUACUCCUUUCUUCAACUCUUCUUAAUCUUUUCAGUCCAUAGCAUAAAUAUUAGGGUGUUUCUGUGCAAAAGCCUAAGCAGGACAACAAGAAGCUUUAGAAUCUCUAUCCUGCAACCAGCAAGUGCCUGCAACUUGGAUCAACGAGGACCUGUACUCCACACACUAUAGGCUGGGAAAAUGACUCAGCAGAGUGGGACACACCAGCCAAGAUACACAUAGGGAGGCUCUUUGAGCAAAACUUCUGUCACAACAAUAAUUAAUUUUUCAAAUGAACAUUUCUAAAAAGAUGAAGACAUACUUCAGUCUGGUGGUGAAACUUCCCUGGCAAUUAGUGAGAGACUAGGGUGGUAAAAGACUCUAGUUACUGCAGCUGUACACAGAUUUUAUUGAGCUUAAUGGAAAUGAUACACACUUAUUGAUGAAUGAAUAGAUCACUCUGAAUUUACUAGGGCUGUCAAAUGUUGUCUGCUAAAUGGAAUUCAUCCUGGUCAGAGCUAUAUUUACAGAUUGUGAAUGUCAAGAAGAAAAACACCAUGUCAGAAAGCUAGAAAGGAUAAUUACGAAUUUCAAUCACUGAGGAGAUCAAAUGGCAUCCAAUGAAGUGAUCAGCUGAAGACACAAAAUAGAAGCCAAGCUAGAAAAGAACCUGAAACUUCUGAACUACAUUUAAAUGCAAAAGCCCUGGUUUUCACUCCCAAGAAACUACCAUUUUGGCAUAGCUUCUUCUUUCUACGUUUUUGUUUGCCAAGGACAUGGCAGAACUCUACAACGUAUGCACAGCAACAUUUCUGUACAGGUCUCUGGGUUGAUAGACAUGAGGAUGUCACACAGGAGACAUAUGCCAUCUCUUUAACAUUAUGACCAAACAUGGUUUUGAUUACAUGUGUAGAAUCAAAUACCAUGCAAUGGAGACCUCUGUUACUAACAAAGUCAUGUGUUUGUGUGGUAGUCUGAGGGAUCAUAGGUCCCCCCUAAAACAAAACUACAGGGACAGAGGCCCAUCCCAGGAUAUUGUAACAUUUUAAUUCUCUUCCAUCUUCUGGUAUCACAGCUUAAAAGACAGUGCCUGAGUGAUCUCUCCCCCUUCUCUUCCCUACCUUUCUUGCUUCCACUUCUCUCUGCUGACAGCACACACUCUUAUCUCAUGGUUUGUGGGCAGCUGGAGGGCAGAGAGUUGAGCCACUGAGGCCUCGUAGGCCCAGCUGGGGUGGGGGAGUUUCGGUCUACCUGCAGGUCAGCUGAGGGUGGGAGGGGUGGAGGAUUCUAGGAGGCCAGUCUGGGGCUAGCAAGAUUUUAUACUUACUCUACCUGACUGCCUUGUGUAUGUGUGCCCUUGUCAAUAGCAUUUGUUCUCUAAACUUCCAAUCAGUGUGCAGUAUGCUCAUUCUUAUUCCUGCAAAGGGCUAAGAGACAUUUCUGUCCUCCAGUACUGGGUAAGCUCGUGGCCCCAACUGGGACAGUUUAUUAAGACCAACAUGGUUUUUUCUAUUGAGAUUGCCCACAAACAUAGCUCUUUUUCCAAGGACACAUCAAAGUUGUGAUCAUAGACUCACUUCAGUUGGAAAAGAGCUUUAAGAUCAAAUCCAGUCACUGACUCCACCAAGUCUAAUGCUAAACCAUGUUUCUGCCUCUUUUAAAUGCCUCCAGGAAUGGAAACGCAACCACCUCCCUUGGGAGCUUAUUCCAGUCUUUGAUAAUUAUCUGCCUGUGAGUAGCUGUAAAGAUGUGAAGAAAAUGCUUUCUAGAGAUGCAAGGAAAGCAAGCCUUCCCUAACCUCCCUAAUAUGGAACUAAAAAGGAAGAUGAGGGUGAUCUUGCAGAAGAGAGCCAUUAUCUUCUCCAUAUUCCAUGCAACUAAAAUGCAGCAUUACAGGUUGAAGAGAAUGCAGCUUGGCUGUACUAAAAUCAAGCCCAUAAAAAAACUGGCAUGUGUACAUUGGGAAGCAUAGCAAAAACAUGAGUUUGAUGCUUUCCUUACCUGCUCAACAACUGUGUUUUGAUAAAGUGACAUUAAACCUCUCAAA